rnacentral:rRNA from 1 species
GCCAGCAGCCAUAUCACCCUGCAACUCACAACUGGCAGCCCACUAAAGCUAAGCAGGUGUGAGCCUGGUUAGUACCUGGAUAGUUCUUGUUCAAGUUCAUGGGAGAUGGGAUGACCUCCUGGGAAAAACUAAGGUUGCUGCUGGAA